UACGGGGGGGGCAAGCGUUGUUCGGAAUUACUGGGCGUAAAGGGCUCGUAGGCGGCCAACUAAGUCAGACGUGAAAUCCCUCGGCUUAACCGGGGAACUGCGUCUGAUACUGGAUGGCUUGAGAUUGGGAGAGGGAUGCGGAAUUCCUGGUGUAGCGGUGAAAUGCGCAGAUAUCAGGAGGAACACCGGUGGCGAAGGCGGGUCUCUGGGCCGAUACUGACGCUGAGGAGCGAAAGCGUGGGGAGCGAACAGG
rnacentral:rRNA from 1 species